UUCAGAUAUAUUAGUUUGGUUUACAACUGCUGCAGGAGGGUUUCCACCGUUUUCGAGUUACGACUCGACUGCACACUGGUUUUCCGGCGCGAUAAAUUACAUCGGACGCGUAAUCGUCCCCGGAACAGUCCGAGAACUCCACGUCGGCGUCGGUUGUCGCGCUCAAAGAGGAUUUCUUUAAGCUUUAGGAAGCAUCGCGCGUGCCGCUGCGACGACAGAAGACCGGGCCAGUCGUUCACCUUAAUCGUUCAGCACUUCCUCGAUAGAAACGUGGACAGAAGAGGUCGUUAGAACGCUGAAAACGUAGUACAGAUGUCUCCUUAUUCCUGUGACGCGCGCAAAAAUUCAGCGAGGAGGUUGCGACUGAAAAUGAAGAGAAUUUUAGAGAAUUGUUACAAAUGACCAAUGUACAACGGGAAAUUCAACAUACUACAAGAGGUAAUUUGUUUUGAAGAUGAGAAAAUGGAAGUCAAAUUCAAUC